CCUACGGGUGGCUGCAGUGAGGAAUAUUGGUCAAUGGACGAGAGUCUGAACCAGCCAAGUAGCGUGAAGGAUGACUGCCCUAUGGUUUGUACACUUCUUUUAUAUGGGAAUAAAACGUUCCACGUGUGGGAUUUUGUAUGUACCAUAUGAAUAAGGAUCGGCUAACUCCGUGCCAGCAGCCGCGGUAAUACGGAGGAUCCGAGCGUUAUCCGUAUGUAUUGGGUUUAAAGGGAGCGUAGGUAGAUUCUUAAGUCAGGUGUGAAAGUUUUCGGCUCAACCGUAAAAUUGCAGUUGAAACUGGCAGUCUUGAGUACAGUAGAGGUGGGCGGAAUUCGUGGUGUAGCGGUGAAAUGCUUAGAUAUCACGAAGAACUCCGAUUGCGAAGGCAGUUCACUGGACUGCAACUGACACUGAGGCUCGAAAGUGUGGGUAUCAAACAGGAGUAGAUACCCGAGUAGUC
rnacentral:rRNA from 1 species